AACGUAGGUUCCGAGCGUUAUCCGGAUUUACUGGGCGUAAAGCGCGUUCAGGCGGUUUGGCAAGUCGGGCAUGAAAUCUCUCGGCUCAACCGGGAGAGGUUGUCCGAUACUGUCAGACUGGAGGGCAGUAGAGGGUGGUGGAAUUCCGGGUGUAGUGGUGAAAUGCGUGGAGAUCCGGAGGAACACCAGUGGCGAAAGCGGCCACCUGGACUGCACCUGACGCUGAAACGCGAAAGCUAGGGGAGCGAACGGG
rnacentral:rRNA from 1 species